rnacentral:sRNA from 1 species
CACACACCUGUGCAGAGCCGGUGGCAGGCCCUCCCGGCACAGGAAUGGCGUGCCCCCAGCUGCCGCCACUUCUGCUUUUGGUGCUGGUGGUGCUGCUGAAAGCUGAUGGGAAUUACAAUACUUCCCUUACAGUUCCGAAUCCCUGACCCCGCACUGGAGCCCCACUUCCCACAGCCCCGGAACGGAGCCCUUGACCUCCACUGACCAGACCUUGGAGCCCCCUGGCCCAGCUCCAGGUGACACUGGGCCCCGUGAGUUACACAGGAACCCGAGCGUGGUGGUGGUCGUGUGUUUGCUGGUGUCUCUUUUGCUCAUCGGGUCUGUGGUCAUGGCUGUGAGAUUCUGUCACCGGAAUGAGUCCAAGUUUGAGAACCUGGACGAGGUGUCCAUGGGAUCCAUGAAUGACAGAUUGUCCUUUGCCCACCACCUCCAGGAGUGAGCCCUGAGGAGCCAACAGAGAUGGGGGCAUGGAUGGGGCUGGGGUUCCUGGGGAGGAGCAGAACCUGAGGAAAUAAAGCCCCUACCAUUCAUCCAAGGCCUCAUGUGAAAACACGAGUUAUGGACUCAUGUGAAAACAUUAACUGAGCACCUACUAUGUGCUGGGCUCUGUGCUGGGGUC